rnacentral:rRNA from 1 species
CUAGUCGUGCGCUAUCCAGCCAUGGUGGGUGGCGCGGCAGACAGCUCAGUAACACGUGGCUAACCUGCCCUUGGGAGGGGUGCAACCCCGGGAAACUGGGGCUAAUCCCCCAUAGGUGAAGAACUCUGGAAUGAGUUUUUGCUCAAAAGGCUUCGGAUCAUGCUUUCGGAGUCGCCCAAGGAUGGGGCCGCGACCGAUCAGGUUGUUGGUGAGGUAAUGGCCCACCAAGCCUUUUACCGGUGCGGGCCGUGAGAGCGGGAGCCCGGAGAUGGGCACUGAGACAAGGGCCCAGGUCCUACGGGGCGCAGCAGUCGCGAAACCUUUGCAAUACACGAAAGUGUGACAGGGUCAUCCCGAGUGCCGACCGCUGAGGUUGGCUUUUACCCAGUCUAGAAAGCUGGGGGAAUAAGGAGAGGGCAAGUCUGGUGUCAGCCGCCGCGGUAAUACCAGCUCUCCGAGUGGUGUGGAUGUUUAUUGGGCCUAAAGCAUCCGUAGCUGGCUAAGUUAGUCCCUUGUUAAAUCCACCGAAUUAAUCGUUGGAUUGCGGGGGAUACUGCUUGGCUAGGGGACGAGAGAGGCAGACGGUAUUUCCGGGGUAGGGGUGAAAUCCUAUAAUCCCGGGAA